UGGUUCUGGCAUCGAUGAAGAACGCAGCGAAAUGCGAUAAGUAGUGUGAAUUGCAGAAUUCAGUGAAUCAUCGAAUCUUUGAACGCACAUUGCGCCCUUUGGUAUUCCUUAGGGCAUGCCUGUUCGAGCGUCAGUAGACGAACUUCAAGCUCAGCUUGGUGAUGGGCGCCUGCCCUCCUCCGGGAGUGCUCGCCUCAAAUGCCUCGGCGGCUGAAAUUUCGGUGUCGUAGCGCAGCACAGUCGCGCCUCUCGCCCCGAGUUUCGGCUCCCGCAAGCCAAACCCCCCACAGUUUGACCUCGGAUCAGGUAGGGAUACCCGCUGA
rnacentral:misc_RNA from 1 species